GGUUUGUAGCUCAGUGGUAGAAUGCUUACGUCUCAUGCAUGAGGCCCUGGGUUUGAUUCUCAGCACCA
rnacentral:tRNA from 1 species